rnacentral:rRNA from 1 species
GGCGGCGAAGGUUUACUGCGAGGUAAGCUGGAGCGAUCAGAAGAGAAAAUGUAGGCAUAAGUAACGAUAAUGCUGAUGAGAAAUCAGCACACCGAUAGACUAAGGUUUCCCCGGCAAUGCUAAUCAGCCGGGGGUUAGUCAGGGCCUAAGACAAACCCGAAGGGGGUAGUCGAUGGACAACGGGUUAAUAUUCCCGUACCACCUUUAUUUUCGAUGGGGUGACGGAGUAGUGAAAGUACCGCGUACUGACGGAAUAGUACGUUGAAGCAUGUAGGUA